rnacentral:miRNA from 1 species
GCCUACUGUUACAUGGGAGGCAGCGUGGUCUAGUGGACAGAGCGCUGGAUCAGGA